AAAGACUUAGUCCUGACCUUACCGUUAGUUCUUGCCAAGCAUAUACAUGCAAGUAUCAGCGCCCCAGUGUAAAUGCCCUAACCCUCUUAAUAAGAAGACAGGAGCAGGCAUCAGGCACACCCACGAAGUAGCCCAAAACGCCUUGCCCAGCCACACCCCCACGGGUACUCAGCAGUAAUUAACAUUAAGCAAUAAGCGCAAGCUUGACUUAGCUAUGGCAACACCUAGGGUUGGUAAAUCUUGUGCCAGCCACCGCGGUCACACAAGAGACCCAAACUAACUGUCCACGGCGUAAAGAGUGGCACCCCACUAUCCCGUAACUAGGCUCAAAAUGUAACUAAGCCGUCAUAAGCCCAAGAUACACCAAAGCCCACCCUAAAGAUGACCCUAGAACACACGAUCGACUGCACCCCACGAAAGCCAGGGUCCAAACUGGGAUUAGAUACCCCACUAUGCCUGGCCCUAAAUCCUGAUGUUUAUAAUAACCAAAACAUCCGCCUGAGUACUACGAGCACAAACGCUUGAAACUCUAAGGACUUGGCGGUGCCCCAAACCCACCUAGAGGAGCCUGUCCUAUAAUCGAUACCCCACGAUCCACCCGACCACCCCUCGCACACAGCCUACAUACCGCCGUCGCCAGCCCACCUCUUGAGGGCACAAUAGUGGGCGCAAGAGCAAAUCCGCUAGCAAGACAGGUCAAGGUAUAGCCUAUGGGGUGGAAGAGAUGGGCUACACUCUCUAAACUAGAGAAUCUAACGGACGGAGGCAUGAAACUGCCCCCUAAAGGCGGAUUUAGUAGUAAAGGCGGCCCCAUGAAACCGCCUUUAAAAAGGCCCUGGGGUACGUACAUACCGCCCGUCACCCUCAUCACAAGCCACUUUCACUCAUAACUAAUACAAACACAGGCUAGAGAUGAGGUAAGUCGUAACAAGGUAAGUGUACCGGAAGGUGCACUUAGCAUAC
rnacentral:rRNA from 1 species